AGAAUAAGGAACCCUCGAAUCCCGGGAAAAGAGAGACAAAUAUACACGAGGGGGGGGCCCCCGAGUACAUUCAUGACAAAAAAGGGAACAGCAUCAGGCUCGGAGAUCAGAUAACCCACCAUUGCCCCACUCACUACAGCUGCGAACCUUUGGAAAGAAGUAACCAAGAUCCACCUCGAACGUCUCUCCCAUUGCCGUACCCACUUUUCCGAUCUCUCUGACACCCUGAAUCCUAGGAAAAAGAGGAGAGGAAGAAGGGAAAUUCUGCUUAAAAAUCCAACCUUUGGGCACUCUGAUCUUCCCUUCCUCGGUGAGAAAUCUAGGACUUUGCGAGGAUUUAACUUGCUGUCCGGGCAAAUAGCGAACUGGGUUUGUGCCGAAUCGGCCUGACAAUGAGGGAAGACGAUGGUGAUUGGUUCUCGAAAUGGGAAUUCCAGCUUCCGCCGCCUGAGGAGCUCACCCCCUUGACUCAGUCCCUCAUCACCCCUGAUCUCGCUCUCGCUUUCGACAUCGGGAGAGGCCCCUCCACGAGCAAUAACUCGGUCUCCGUAGUCAACGGCAAGCAACGCCACCCCCCGCCGCCGCCGCAGCACCUGAGUUCCUCCAAUCACGAUUUGAAGGCCGGGGCAGGUGCGGCGGCGCACCAGCCUGGGCCGGUCGAUUUCGCCGAUUCGGGCGAUCUGGGGUCCGGGGGUGCGGGGGGCGGAGGCGGCGGGGACGAGCCGGCCCGGACCCUCAAGCGGCCGCGGCUGGUGUGGACGCCCCAGCUGCACAAGCGGUUCGUGGACGCGGUGGCGCACCUGGGGAUCAAGAACGCUGUGCCGAAGACCAUAAUGCAGCUGAUGAGCGUUGACGGGUUGACCCGGGAGAAUGUGGCCAGUCACCUGCAGAAGUACCGCCUCUAUCUCAGGCGGAUGCAGGGAUUAUCCGGCGGCGGAGGUGGUGGCAGCGGCGCAGAUGCCGCCACUGAGAGGUUAUUCGCAAGCGGGCCGGUGCCGCCACAUUUUUUGCAUCCGGGCAGGGCGAGUUCGGACCAUUUCUUGGUACUGCAGCACCACCAGCAUCUGGCGGCAGAGGCUGCCGCAGCAGCGGCCCAUCCACCGUACCAUAGGCAAGUGGGCCAUUUCGGGUUACCGCCAAAUGGGCAAUUUGAGCAUCCUCUGUUGCAAAGCAGGCAUGGGCAGAUGGCGCAUACGCCGCAUAGCAUGGGGGCAACAAUGUCAACGCACAAUCCAAUUCAGUCCUCUGUUGAAGGGUUGGAGUCGGUCAAGGGGAGUGGAGGGAGAAAGGUCCUGACUUUGUUUCCCACUGGAGAAGAUUGAGUUUUGGGGUAAUCACUAAUUUUCUUCCUCCAAGACCUUUCUGUCAUCUCCUCAAAGUUUUGUUUUUGUGGAUUUGGCUGGAGCUGGGCUUUUGAUGCUGGUGGAUCGGAAGGGUAAGGCCAUCUAAAUGUUGAGUCUGGCUGGGGCAGGUGGGCACAGAGCAUUGCAAGCAAUUGUUGGCUGGGAUUUGUUCUAUUUCAGGAUAGGAUCACUGUGCGCUGUUUGGUGAUUGGUAGAUCAUUGGCUUUCAACACGAUAAUAUAUCGCUCCUGCUUCUGAUCAAUUGUUCUGGGUUCAACUGUUAAUGUAGAUUACUUGUGUUUGUUGUAAAUUCUGCGAUUUAACAGAAAUUCUCAUUUCAUUAUAGAAUUUAUGUCACUGUAAUGUGCCGUGUGAUGUAGUUAGCUUUUCUUGAUUUCCCACUAGAUGAUACUUAGUUUGUUGAUUUACUCCCUCUGAGGAACAUCAUGCUGCUCGUCGGCUUUUCCAUUCUCUUCCAUUGUUUAAAUCUUAUAUCAGCUACAACUCUUUUAGUAA